GGACGGACCACCUCAAGCAGGCGACUAGGCCGGUACCACGCUGGAAAGCGAGGAGUGGGCUCAGGAACCGGACAGGGCUCGGGGACCGGAGUCAGUGCGGGAGCUGGAGUACCAGGAGGAACCGGGUGGUUCCCCAAACCCUCCCAGCGCUCCAUUAUCUUAUUUAUUUUGGCUAGUAAAUCCUCCAACUUAUGGCCAAAUUGAGCGUCCGCUGGGUCCCAUCGUGGUGCUGUCAUUCUGUUAAGGAAGCUGGAGGUGCAGGCAGGCAGAGCUGCAUCUCCGCCAGGGCGCAUCAACAGCUGUGCCUGGGCCAAUGGCGGACAGUGCUCGGUCUGGAGCAGGGCCAGGACCAGGACCAUCCUUCACCCCCUCUCAGCCUCCUCCCCCUCCACCCUUCACCCCUCUCAGCCUCCUCCCCCUCCAACCUUCACCCC
ensembl:lncRNA